UAUCUAGCUUCAAUACAGGUUGGGAGGCGCGAGUAAUGUGCAGUCCUUGUACUUUGGUUUAAUAGCGGGUUAUUUGAGGGCUGCGUAUCCUGAGCGGUGAAUUGAUCCUCGUGAACUCAUCUAUCCGCACUUGGAUCGUCCCUCUCUUUUCGUCCUGGCAAUUAUCACUGCAGUUUACUUUUUCCUCCGCUGCGCACCGAGUGACUAACAUUGGCUUACAAUCAUUUAAAGGGACUUCUGCUGCUGCCAUCUGGUUUCUGGGGUAGUUUGAACUGACCUGCCCUGGUCUACUUUGGGGUGCACGAUCGUCUAUUUCUUGGGACUGGCCUAAGAACGACGUGGCCCUCUUUUUUUGAGUCCUGUUUCCAUCAAACUUUUUAUAAAGGAGCUGGGGGUCCCACGGGUGAAAGACCUUUUGGUGGUGGUGCUAUUCCAACGUGUGCUGUGCGACAUUCUUGAAGUGUACGAGUGUGUGCUCUGAGUUCACGGUGAGGUGUGUGUGUGGAAGUGUGCGGUUGGAUAACUAACCCUGGUGAUCGCCUCGGUGGAUAUCCCCAGCCCUGUAUUUAAUUGUGAUAUUUUGUUUUGUCUAUUUAGAAGUUGCGUAAAGUGGUUGUUUAUUAUUUUUUCAUUUAAUCAUCGUUAUUUGUGUACUUGCCUGUCACUGGACCUUCUUAACAGUGAAGACAUCUUUUCUUUUCUUUUUGUUGCUUUUGUAAUGUUGGUUUGAGCUGUUAGUAAGGGCUCUUUAGGACUGAGCAUAUUUUAAGUGAGUUUUUAUUUUAAUUGCAAGUAUUCAAUGAAUGCUGUUUUUUUUUAUUAUGAUGCCCACGUUUCUUGCCUAUACUUAUUUAUAAGAGAAUCGAACUUGUGUGAUCUGAUAACAAACACUGGGGUUUACUUCUAUUUCCUGGGUUUAACCCUCCCAGGUGGCGUAGUCGAAUUGGUUACAAAUAGAUAAACUUGGGUUUGUGUGUGAUAAGCUGUACGGCCCUCACUCAUACCUCCUAACACACCAUACCGCUCCCGCCACACAAUGUUUACUGGGUAAGUCAGUGUCUUCCUUCAAAAGACAUUUAACUGGAAGAAACCCAAAGAAAACAAUGAUUGUAGAAGUUAAACAUCUAGAGCAGAUGUAUUCAACUAAAAUUGAAAGAGGUCCAGUAAGAGAAUUUCUUGAAGCAAUGGUCUGGAAGAUCAUAAUGUCUAACUAGUUAGUGUGAUAUAUAUUUAAGUAGCCUAGUAGUUGUAUCAACACCUGACUGUCAAAUCAAAUAAGUUCAGUACACUUCAAAAACCUUUUGACAAUAUUUAU